rnacentral:rRNA from 1 species
UACAGAGGUCUCAAGCGUUGUUCGGAUUCAUUGGGCGUAAAGGGUGUGUAGGUGGCGCGCUAAGUCGGGUGUGAAAUUUCGGAGCUUAACUCCGAAACUGCAUUCGAUACUGGCGUGCUUGAGGACUGGAGAGGAGACUGGAAUUUACGGUGUAGCAGUGAAAUGCGUAGAUAUUGGGAGGAACACCAGUGGCGAAGGCGGCUCACUGGACCGGAACUGACGCUGAGGCGCGAAAGCGUGGGGAGCAAACAGG